rnacentral:rRNA from 1 species
UACGGGGGGAGCAAGCGUUGUUCGGAUUUACUGGGCGUAAAGGGCGCGUAGGCGGUCGUGACAAGUCACUUGUGAAAUCUCCGGGCUUAACUCGGAACGGUCAAGUGAUACUGUCGGACUAGAGUACAGAAGGGGCAACUGGAAUUCUCGGUGUAGCGGUGAAAUGCGUAGAGAUCCGGAGGAACACCGACGGCGCAGGCAGCGUCCUGGCCGCUUGCUGACACUGAGGCACGAAAGCUGGGGGAGCAAACAGG